GACGAAGGAUGCAAGCGUUAUCCGGAUUCAUUGGGCUUAAAGGGUGCGUAGGCGGACUGGUAAGUCAGUGGUGAAAUCUCCGAGCUUAACUCGGAAAUUGCCAUUGAUACUGUCGGUCUUGAGUAUAGUUGCCGUUGGCGGAAUAUGACAUGUAGUGGUGAAAUGCAUAGAGAUGUCAUAGAACACCGAUUGCGAAGGCAGCUGACGAAACUAUAACUGACACUGAGGCUCGAAAGUGUGGGGAUCAAACAGG
rnacentral:rRNA from 1 species